rnacentral:rRNA from 1 species
GACGAACGCUGGCGGCGUGCUUAACACAUGCAAGUCGAACGCUGAAGCCCUGGCUUUUGUUGGGUUGGAUGUGUGGCGAACGGGUGAGUAACACGUGAGUAACCUGCCCUCUUCUUUGGGAUAACCCCCGGAAACGGGCGCUUAUACUGGAUAUUCUCUUGUCUUCUCAUGGGGGUUGGUGGGUAGGUUUGUUUUGGUGGGGGCUGGGCUCGCGGCCUAUCAGCUUGGUGGUGGGGUGAUGCCAUGCCAUGGCCUUGACGGGUAGCAGACCUGGGAGGGUGACCUGUGAGAUUGGGAGUGGGAUACGGGCCAGAGACGUGCGGGAGGCAGCAGUGGGGAGUAUUGGACGAUAGGCGAAAGCAUGAUGCAGCGGCGCGGCGUGAGGGAUGGAGGCCUUGGGGGUGGGAACCUCUGUCGCUAAUGGUCAUGCCGCAAGUGGGGGUUGUGGUGAGGGUAGUGGGUAAAGAAGCGCCGGCUAACUACGUG